rnacentral:siRNA from 1 species
UGUACCAAUACUUGCCAGGCGCCA